CCAGAGUGCCCUAGGCUCUCCAACCCAUUGUGAACAUACCUAUCGUUCCCUCGGCGGGCUCAGCGCGCGGUGCUUCCGGGCUCCGGGCGUCCGCCGGGGACAACCAAACUCUGAUUUUAUUGUGAAUCUCUGAGGGGCGAAAGCCCGAAAACAAAAUGAAUCA
rnacentral:misc_RNA from 1 species